AUACGUAGGUGACAAGCGUUAUCCGGAUUUACUGGGUGUAAAGGGCGUGUAGGCGGAGAUGCAAGUCAGGAGUGAAAUCUAGGGGCUCAACCCCUAAACUGCUUUUGAAACUGUAUCCCUUGAGUAUCGGAGAGGCAGGCGGAAUUCCUAGUGUAGCGGUGAAAUGCGUAGAUAUUAGGAGGAACACCGGUGGCGAAGGCGGCUUGCUGGGCUUGUACUGACGCUGAGGCUCGAAAGCGUGGGUAGCAAACAGGAUUAGAUACCCUGGUAGUCCACGCUGUAAACGAUGAUUACUAGGUGUGGGGGGACUGACCCCUUCCGUGCCGCAGUUAACACAAUAAGUAAUCCACCUGGGGAGUACGGCCGCAAGGUUGAAACUCAAAUGAAUUGACGGGG
rnacentral:rRNA from 1 species